GACGAACGCUGGCGGCGUGCCUAACACAUGCAAGUCGAGCGAAGUUUUUCUGUUUCUUGCCCUAGAAAAACUUAGCGCCUAACGGUUUAGUCACACGUAAAGAACCUGCCUCAUAAACUGGGACUACUAUUGGAAACGAUCGCUAAUACCGGAUAACAGCAUUAACUGCUUGGUUGAUGUUUAAAUGUUUGUUUUGCUAACACUAUGAGAUGGCUUUGCGGUGAAUUAGCUAGUUGGUGGGGUAAAGGCCUACCAAGGCGACGAUGCAUAGCCGACCUGAGAGGGUGAUCGGCAAGACGGGGAGUGAGAAAGGGCCCAGACUCCGACGGGAGGAAGCAGUAGGGAAUCUUCCGCAAUGGGCGAAAGCGUGACGGAGCAAAGAGGCGUAAGGGAAGAAGGAUUUAGGUUCGGAAAGCGCUGUUGUUAGGGAAGAAUGAUUGUGUAGUAACUAUACACAGUAGAGACGGUACCGAGCCAGAAAGCCACGGCUAACUACGUG
rnacentral:rRNA from 1 species